rnacentral:lncRNA from 1 species
GGGAGGCAUCUUGAUGAUACAUGGAUAGCAUAUAUAGGUGAUGACUUUAGGAGGACAUUGAAGUGGCAAAAGACAUACUCAGGCAUUCCAAGCGGGCGGUUUGGGCACUCAUGUGUCGUAAUUGGCGAUUCACUUAUCCUAUUUGGAGGGAUCAAUGACCACGGGAUUCGCCAGAAUGAUACUUGGGUAGGACAAGUUAUAUUGAAAGAAACACUUGGGGUUACUUUGUCUUGGAUUGGGGUAAUUCCGCUAUUGAUGCACUGAAAGCAUCAAGUUCCGUGCAGGGAAUUCAAUGGAAGAAGUUGUACCAGCAGGUUCAUCAGUUAGACUCUGUUUGUUGCCAUAAACUAUUGUUUGAAACCCCAGAUGGCGAUGAGGUUCUUCCGAGUCCUAGAGCUUCUCAUUCCCUCAAUUUUGUGAAUGGAUGCCUUGUUCUGUUUGGUGGGGGAUGUGAAGGAGGUCAGUCACUUUUUAUUUAUUUUAUUUGUUAUGCUUGUUGAAUUAUAUAUAUAGUUUUCGAUUCUCUUUCUCAGUAUACUUUAUGCUUGGCACCCUAAUCUUUAUUCUGAUUAUAUUCAUCUUUUCGAUGGACCCUCGUGUUAAUUGUUUUAAACAUCAUGCAGUUGGAAGUGUUUUAUUGCCUGAAUUGAAGUCAUUUGCUAAAUUUUAUUUGAUUGAAAAGGGAUUGAGGUUUCGAAUAUGAAAUUUCUGGUUGCUUCUGUGGACAAAUGAAGGAAAAAUGGACAGUAUACGUUCCAGCUGCUAGUUCUUAGGCAAAUACUCUUGGAAUUGUGCAAACAAUUACUAGUUCAUGUCCCAAAGAUAAAAUAGCAAGAAGAACUUUAUAGGAUUUAUGUAUUUUAGAGAUGUAAAGAUGCCCUCAAGUGAUUCAUUCAGUUAGUAUUUUAAGAUUACUAGUACACUGUAAACAUUGUGUUGGUGUCAUCUACAUCAUGUCCAAGCUGGAGUUUUAGAUGUAACACGAAGAGCUUCCAGUUGCCCCAGCAGUUCAAAUUCCAGUCUUUGCUUUCCAGAGUUGAUCCAACCAGCUACCUCAUCCUGCACACCAAAAAGAAAAAGUAAAGAAGGGGACACUGAAAAUGCCUGAAAAUUUAAAUAAACAAUAACUUCAAUGUAAGAUAAGAAGCAUGAGAGAUGAUGCGUAAAGUGUUUCUUGAGAAGGGAAAGAAUAUCCGUUGUCCAGGGAGCAUAAACGAUAGUAACAUGUUAACUUUUGUCAUGAUUACUGACAGCUGAUUUACUAACAGAUUGUUAUAACCAAGAAAGGAGCAAUUCAAUUGUAGUCUUCAAAAGUAUGCUGGAAGAAAAUUCUUCUUCUCUGAUGUGCAGUAGUGGGAUUUUUUCCCAUGCUUCAAUAAAGAUUUUUCCUUAUUUAUGAAGAAAAAAUUGGUCCUUUGAUCUUGUCGAUCCAUGCUCGAAAAUAGAGGUUCCAUGCAAGCUUCCUCAUUCUGUCCCGAUCGACUUGAUCAUCAUUUCCAACUAUAUAUAUAUAUAUUUUUUUUAUUUUUGUAGGAAUUUCUAGGUGUGAUGACAAAUCAACAGAUUAAUAAUCCAUACUUGCAUCAGUUGUGCACAUUGUGUUUCCAUUAAGUCAAGCUUGUGUUAAUGUGUCUAAGUGUUAACCCAUUGAAAUGAGCAGUGGCUAUGACAAGCACGUUUCUUUACCUCAUGCCAAUGUCUAAGUGAGGGUGUGCCUGUAAUGGCUGCAUCACAAUCAAACAGAAGAGAGGCAAUGGAGUUGUGUUGCGUGUGACAAUCUGAUGACAGUGCAUGGGAUGGGUAGAUUGCCCUAUAGGCUAUCAGAGCUGCAAGCAUGACAUGCAGGCAGCAUUCUUGCACAUGAUAGAGGGACUCAAGUUUCAGUGUGCAUAGAGGCAAGUUGGAGGAAGGUGAUGUGGACUCUUAGUUAGUGUGCAAAGUCAAGUAACGGUUGCACCUGAUGACUCUAAACUCACCAUGUUUUGGCGGUUGUGGGAAUUGAGUAAUAAAGCAGUUUCUGAGUGACAUAGGACAUGGCUAGUGGCCAAUGCUAGAAUUGGUUAGGACACCAGUUGGGGUGCCAACUUACACCUAUUUUCUAUACAUAGUGUUAAGCUGCUGAGGCACUAAACAAGAGAAGUGUUGUGCUAGCUAAGUUUUCCCUGAGAUUCAUUUGUUUGAGAGAUACAGUUGGGUGAUUCCCAUAAUUGCCAUGUUCUGUUCCUAGUGCCUUUGGUUGUGUGCCUUUGAAUUCCUCAGUCCAUCAGUGGGUGAAAAUUUGCUAUAGUCCUUACCCUGUGACAACAAGCAUUUCAUCUUGUUGGCACCCCGUCUUAGCUAGGUCCCUCCCUCCCGCAAUUCAAAUAAAUGGCUUCACUAUCCAGGGUUGCUUUAAUUAAUCUGCAUAUAAUCAUCACGCAAACAAUAGACUUCAUUUUAAUUAUUGUGAAGUCUAAUAGUCCAGAACUGUGAUAGCACCUCAUAUAUUAUAUUUUCUGCUUUGGAAAAAGCAUAAAUAGGACUUGUACUUCUAGUGGAAGUGAAAAAUAUUAGCUACGAGGAAAGGGAGAAGGGUCCCUGAAUAUCCAUUCCAACUAAAGGUGGUUUAUUAGCUGGGUAAACAUAUGCUGUCUCAAUUUAAUUAUCCAAUGAAUGUCUUUGUGCGUUAAUUAAUAAUGAUCAUCAAUAAUCUUUUGGCUUUGAUAAGUUCCAUAAAAAAUUGUAUAGGUAAAAAUUACAACAAAUGAAUUACAUCCUCCACUGUCAUCAAAUGAACCAUUGUCUAUCACUUCUGAUGAUUAUUUUAGUAAAUGAUUUCUCUUUCAUGUAGUAUCAUUUGAUAUAAGUUUAUCUGGCUCAAACUAACUUAAUUUUCUUAUUAUUUUGGUAUUGUCAUUUUUUGUUCUUUUCCUCUAGGGAGGCAUCUUGAUGAUACAUGGAUAGCAUAUAUAGGUGAUGACUUUAGGAGGACAUUGAAGUGGCAAAAGACAUACUCAGGCAUUCCAAGCGGGCGGUUUGGGCACUCAUGUGUCGUAAUUGGCGAUUCACUUAUCCUAUUUGGAGGGAUCAAUGACCACGGGAUUCGCCAAAAUGAUACUUGGGUAGGACAAGUUAUAUUGAAAGAAACACUUGGGGUUACUUUGUCUUGGAGGCUACUUGAUGUUGGUGCUGUUGCCCCUCCCCCGCGUGGAGCUCAUGCCGGAUGUUGCCUUGAUAACAAGAUGAUGCUUAUCCAUGG